GUGCAUUUAUUUUGUCUUUACAGCCACAUACAGCAAACAUUUAUAGAUUAAGAGACCUCAGACACACACUGAAUGAGGAAGUGUUUUUUGAGCCUCAGCUUUCGUCUACUUUAGUCAUUCACUAAUACAGCAAUGCAGGACUUUCAUGGAUAUACUGUUUCCAUCUCUGGUGUGCUGUUGUUUGCGCUUCUACUGGGUAUGUACAGAGAUUAAUAUUGGACAUUUUUAAUGCACUUGGCAAAUUAAGCUUUUUCAGUGAUUAACAGUAAACGAGCUUCCUUACUGCUAACCUCAUAGGUCAGAGCAAACAAUUUUACAUGGCAUUUGGAGAUGUUCUGAAAUGCAUAAAAUACACAGCCGAAUAUUUACAUUAACUAAUUUAGUACAGAAAUUAAAGUAUUUAUCUAAUCAUUUGCUUUUCAAAUCACUGAUUUUUCUUUGUCAUAUUUACUCAACCACUGAAUAUAUUUUUCAGUAUAUAUUUCAAAAUUGUCCUGGACUCUCAUAAGAAAUUUGGCAUUUGUCAGUACACUAACUGUACACCACUGAUGUUCAGCAUAUUUCUCAUGUAACUGUCUGCUCUUAUCAUUUUCUAUCUGCAGGAAAAUUAUCAGAUUUGACUCAGGAAACCCUAAGGUCUUUCUCAAAAAAUAAAUAUGGCUGUUAAUGAAGUACAUGCUGCCUAUGCAAGCUAUUUGGUUACUGCAAAUUCUAAGAAGAUAUAAUUAUGAAGAUUUAUAAAGAGUUUUACUGUAGUUGGUGGGCAUAAUCUGUGGACAAAUGAACUGAGAAUUAGUUUUUAAAUGAUUUUGUAGUUAGGAUUGUUGUUUUUUUUUUAAUAGUGGUUUAGGUACGGGCUUCAGACUGUCUAUGGACACAUAGCAGUACAACAUAACUGAUAAAGACAGUUACAACAGUGGAAUUAAAGAAAACUGAUCUUAGUGACAGUAACCAACACAAAGCAAAAUAACAAAACAAAGCAGAACAAAAUAAAACAAAAUCAAAGCACAAAGCAGACUCAAGCAGCCCCAAAGCAGCAACGUGGCUCCACGAGUGAGGGGGAGGAGCUAUACUGAGAUAACCACAUCUCACUCAGCCCGCCUUAACGCAUGCAAAAUCGAGGACCUGUGAUACGAUGACUUGAUACUCACGAUGGCACAUACGAAAAUCGUGAUAGCGUCUUUAAUAGUUGUGACGGCAACAGCUGGCGCACCGACCGGAGCUACGUUAAACUACCAUGCUACACAGUUGGGAGCGUUGACAGCACACCGCACUGAGAGUGAGCAGCACAUCACACCUGCACACAAUCUCGGUAGCCCAACGUCACACUCUGUAGUCCAUAGCAAUGAAAGGAAGGGGCUGUUUUCGACCAUGACACCUUCUGGGAGGCCUAAACAACCACUUAUAUACUAUGGUAGCGAUAGAGCCCAUUGGCCAUGUAGUUAAUAAGGGUGACGUUUUAACCACGACACACCCUACUACACCCUUAAAGUAAAUCUCUCUCCUUGGAGCAUCAGAUUGGAGGGAAAUUCACACAAAGAAAAUUCAAAAGUCCAGAAAUCUUUUGGUCUGGGGGAAAGGGACGCUGGCUCAAAAUCAGUGUCAUCACUACUGCCACUUGUUUCAUGAUCACUUUCAUAAAUAAACCCUAAAGCAGUUCAGAUGUUGUGUCUGUUCAAUUUAACAGAAGUAUAUAGAGCCUUUGCAGUGAUCUUGUUUUCUAGCUGCUCACUAAGCUCUGUCCAGAUGCUCUGAUUAAGAGUAGCUAUGUUGCCAUUUUGGACUAUGGCCUCUUUUCAAGAACAGAGGACUGAAAAUGGAAUCCCUGUCGACUGCUGAUUUCUUGGGCAUCUGGCAUAAGCAAAACAUGCCAGACGCCACCCACUGAAAUAAUCCUGACUCAAAAAAUGUCAUAUACAGUAUAAACUUCAUGUAUUACUGUAUUUGCCAGAAUACAAGGAAAAUAUAAUCUAGUAAUAAUAUAUAAGGAUAUUAUAUCUUACAUUAGGACCAAUAUGGUAAUGUUGACUCCUAGAUGCACAACAUAUUCAAAAAAACUAACAUGGGUACCAUGUACCGCUGUAAUUAGCAUUUCAUAUCUACAUUAACCAUACUAGUAUGAGCAAAGAGUUUUCAGUUCAAUAAACAUUGACAAUCUUAGCUCUCUUGAAUGGUGUACCAUUAUGAUUGAAGUUAACUAACAAUAUUCUAACUGACAGUGUUAAAACACUGUACUUACACUGGCCAGAAUUUUGAUUUAGUAACUAUGUUGACUUUUCCUACACUAACAACACUAAUUUCCACAAGAGCAUCAUGAACAGAAGUGUCACAUCUAGUGGUGGCAGUGAAGUGUAGCAGAUGAUCUUGUGAAUCAAUGAAAAUUCCACUUCACGCAGGUGCAAUGGGGUGGUGUGGGAGAACUUAGGAAGCUUGAAAACAAGUUGUGCAGCUGCAUUCUGGAUCAGUUGCAGAGGUUCAGUGGAGCUUACAAGCAGAUCUGCCACCAGCGAGUUGCAAUAGUAGUCCAGUAUCGAAAUGACAGGAGACUGAAGAAGCACUUGAGUGGCCUGUGUGGAUAUAACGGUUGAAUCCUUCUGCUGUUGUGAGAUCAGAGAGUUGUCCAGGGAGAUUGCAAGAUACUGAUGUGGGGAUGAAAAGCAGUUCAGAUUUGCUGGGAUGAAGUUUCAGUAAAUCAGUUGGUAAAACUGAAGAACCUGGUUCAGGAUCUUGAAAGUUGUUCUGAGAGAGAGAGAGAGAGAGAGAGAGAGAGAGAGAGAGAGAGAGAGAGAGAGAGAGAGAAUAUUGACUACAGACAGUGUGUUAGAGGAUUUUGGAAAGAAAAGAGAGGUGACACUGUUCGGUAGUUGCUGAUGUCUGAGGGAUCCAGUGUGGAUUUCUUCAGGAUGGGUAUAGCCCUUGCUCUCUUGAUUUUGCACUGCAAUAUGCCCCUUCCCUCCACUAACUAUAGCUGCUUGACAAUUUCUGUUGAAUGAUGUAAAGUCUUAAUACCAGCACCCUGAAUUUUUCUGUACUGACCAAUAUCUUUUCAUUUAAAUCCUUUGUUACAGACUACCAGGAGCAGGGAGGGAAAAAAGUAGUUAGUUAUUAUUUUUAUAUUUACAGCCCCUGGCAAAAAUUCAUCACACUGUGGAACCACACUCAGAGGAUGCUCACCUAGAUAUUUUUUUUAACUUCUUAGCAUAUAAACAAAUCACACAAAACAACUUUUUAUUUAAUUAAUGGCAUAUUUUUUUCCAUAUAAAAUAGAGUAAAAAAUUAUGGAAUCAACAAACACAUCACAAUUAGUACUUUGUUGCUCCUGAAUUCUUUGAAGCAUGGACUACACUAAUAAAAACAAUAUUCUCCAUAAAGCUGGUUCCAACUAUCUCGAAUAGUGGUUCACAGAUCAGAGUUGCAGGAUGGAGCCAGGUCACGGACCAGUUUUUAAAUGUCCACCACUAAUUUUCAAUCGGACUGAGAUCCGGACUGUCUGCUGGCCAUUACAUUGAGUUGCUCUGCCUUUCCUGAAGAAAAGCUUUAACUCUCCAUCAUUUUAUCAUCCUGAAAAAUUACUUCCCCAAACCUAGAUUCUAUCAAUGGAAUGAGGAAAAAAAAAAAAAAGUGUCCAAAAUCUUUAUAUACACCUGUG
ensembl:lncRNA